rnacentral:lncRNA from 1 species
UUUUUUUCAGAGACUCUUUGAAGACAAAAAUGACACAAUGUUAUUUAGUUCAUCUACCUGGUCAGUGGUACUGACACAUUAUUUUAUUGUAAUGAUCAAAAAUAUUGACUGACUGAAUUUCAGUAGUAAAUUUGUAAGAUAUAGGAUUGUCCAUCUUAUCAUUUUCUCUUGUCUGGGAAUAGUAGUUUCCAUUCCUAAUUCUGCUCAUGUUUAAUAUGGAGUGAUUUAAAUAGGAAUCUGUCUGCUUGAGAGGGAUCAUGGAUUUCCCUCUUACAACAGAAUGAAGAUUUUUUUUUUUUCCUACAGAGGAUUUAACUUAGAAUCAUAUUAUGGGGUUUGGAUGCUUAUCUAAACACUUUCCCUAAUAUUGUAGCAUUCUGUAAAUGGAUUGAGAAAAUAAAAUAUCUAAAAAGUAACUAUCAUCUGGGAUUCCUUAUAAAUCUCAUUUCUUCCAAACUGUAUAUACCAAAGCAUCAUCCUUACAAAGUGGUUACUUUUUUGGUUUUGCUGAUAUUUUGAAGUGGUGCUUGAAGAGAAAGUAGGAGGACAGAGAAAUAUUUGGGGAUUUAAUUACAAAUCAAGGUCGGAUGUGCCAUAGCAAGGGCAGUCAAAAUAGCAUGACUGCAGAUACACACGUUAUAGUACUGUGACCUUUAUCUGGUUUUCACACCAGCCCUACCAUCAAGCUGCAGACUGUCAGCAUGAGGCCUUGCCUUUUGCCUCUUUCCUUGUUUCUGACCCAUUCUCCUUUCUUUGGCCUGUAUUAUCUGCAAAUGAAAUGUGAGGAAGGUAACUGAUACUCUGUAGGCCACCUUGCUUGAAAAGAAAUCAAUAAACUUGAUUUGACAACUCUAUCUUUAGCAGAAAAGGAAAAAAAAAAGUCCUCAUUUGAAGUCUAUUUAAUGGAUAGUUAUUACACAUUUACUAUGAGUAUAGCAUUUUCACAUAUUCUAUAACAUUUAACUUUGAGUAAAAGGCCCAUGUUUGAUAUAAAAAUUAAUAUAACAUGGGAGUAAAUAAUUUAGUAACCUUAACAAAUAAACAUCACUACUCAGAAUCAAACACUUAUCUAUUUGAGUCCAAGUUUGCACAGGGCAAAACAGGAAGAGGCAAAUGCCAGCAAUUGCUAGCAUUUUAUUACUUGUUUUUGCUGUUUUUGUUAAAUUAUCUCAAAUCAACACGAAAAAGUGGAUGUUCUCACUUCUAUUUCUGCACUCAAAUAAAUUAAUUAAUUAAAAAUCCAAUCCCAAAAUCAAACAAAUGAAACAACUAAAAUUGCAGAUAGAUUAAAUAAAUUGUAGGAGUUCACAAAGCCAGGAACGCUUAAUUCCAUGUCAAACACUAAAUCAAUAUUUUAUGUUGCUAUAUGACAAAAGAUGCAUAGAUCCCCAAGUGAGGUCUGAAUAUUAUGUACAACUACAAGCAUGUUAACAACAAAAUCAACACUGAACAAAAUUACCCAAAGACUUUGAAAACAAAGCAAUCACUCCAGUGUCUUUCCAUUUGCUUAGUUUGGGAUAUUCUCUAGCCUUGACUUAUAUUAACAGGAUACUUCCAAAAACCUCUGUGGCAGAGAAAAUAAGUAAAGGUUAUUAUCAUUUUACUUAAGGAAAAUUUAGUAGGAUGUUCUUUCUUGCAUGUGAUUUUCUAAACUUACCCCAUAAUUAGUUGUAAAAAUGAGAUUGGAAACUCCUCUAUCUCUGACAACCAAAUUGUUUCUUAAUCUAAGCUGUAAUCAUUAUAGAAAUUUAAGGCUUGGAGAUCUACCAUUGUUUUAAAUAGAAUGCACAAUCAAAACUCUCAUUCUUCAUUUGACAGAUCACUGAGACCCAUUGAUCUGUACUUUGGAAAUGAUUGUGUUCAUUGACUAUAUCUUAGGUAGAUGAAAAUAGAAUGUAUAAAGCAAUUAAUUAAACUAUAAUCAGUAAACAAUAAUCCUAACCUUGCACAUUAACUUUUUAUCCCAGCAUCAAUAAUAGAUUUUAAAACACAUUAUGCAUUGUGGGUAACUAUAGAAAAAUAAAUUACAAUUUUAAUUUGCCAACCCAGUGUAUUUCCAACAAAUAAAGCAUAAAUAUAACACCCUGAAAAUAUGUUUUCCAAUUACAAUUUUUAAAAUCCCUUAUAUUUAAUUAGUCUUCAUAUCAUAACAAAUUUGAUAUCAUCUGGAUCAAAAUUUCAUUUGAUGCUGAGAACAAUGAAAUGAAAUGUGAAGGCCUUUACUCACCCAUUUAAAAAUUUAAGGCAGUGAGGAUAAGAGAGUUAAAUAAUCUGGCUAGGAUGUUAGAGCAUCUGGGAUUGCAAUUUAAGUCUAACUCCCAAAUCAUGUGUAUUUAAUACAAGAGAGCAAGAAAAUUUCAGAUUAUAGAGAAUUUUAGAAAUAAGUAGUCAUCACAGAGAUUGCUCUCUAUGUUGUAUUUGAGAGGAGAAGAAUAAGGUCCUUUAAUAGAAAUAUGUUGAAAUCUGUAUAGAUUAUCUCUCUGUUGGAGCACUUCUGGGUAGUGAUAAAACAAAUUCAGAAUUAAACCUUUUUAGUAGGUUGUACAAUUGUAUCUGUAAAAUAGAUCUUAUACUUGGAGAUAAAGCAUUUCUAUGAGUAGUAGGUAUAGAACAGGAAACAUGACCUCUGGCUUUUAACAGCAAAAGUUGGAGGAUCCCUGGGUGGCUCAGCGGUUUAGCGCCUACCUUCAGCCCAGGGCCUGAUCCUGAAGACCCAGGAUCGAGUCCCGCAUCUGGCUCCCGGCACGGAGCCUGCUCCUAUCCCUGCCUCUCUCUGUCUCUCUCUCUCUCUACGUCUAUCAUAAAUAAAUCUUUAAAAAAAAUAAAAACAGCGAAAGAUGGAGAGAGGAGAGACUGCAGGAUCAAUCCAACGAUGCAAUCUAUUCUUUGCAUGCUUCUGCUUCUAGUGGUGUUAGAGAGAAUUGUAUAUCCAGUUGUUCAGUGCACAAUGCAAGCUUCUUAAGUCUUUCUUAAGAGGAGUAGGGAUAGGCAUCUACCUAGUGUAGUAAUCAGAAAAUAAGUGCUUUGCUGAUAGCAGGGCAGGCCUAGGACAUGUUUUGAUUACUUAUCUCUGAGAGGGCCUCCAAUAAAAAAUCAACUCAAACUGAUGCUUCAAUACAAUGAUAACAACAAUAGAAUGUCAGCUGAUUAUCAAUUCAAAUAGUGCUUGUGACAGUGUAGGAUUUCUGUUUCUCUUUAAUCCUCAUACAAAAUUUGUUUAAAUUUGAUUUUAUUUGUUUUCUCUGUAUGUGCAGGGACAAUCAUGCAUGCAUGGGAACAUGAGCCAUACGAAUAUCUCUAUAGCCUUUUCCCACAGUACAUUCGAAUGUUCAGUAUCUAGAGGUCGUUUAGCUAGUUAAAUGAGCAAAGGAGCUGUUUUACUCUAACAAAUAGAAGAAAAUAGUUUAUUUCUCAAUAACAUUUCCUAACCAUUGUCAGUACUAGCAUAAUUUUCACCAUUAUUUGUUUGUUUGAAGGUGGUGGAGAUAUUGGCAUGUGCAUUAUUAAGAUAGUCUGAAUAUGGUAAUUUUCAUAAUGAGAUUUAUUGUAUACAUCUCCUGGAAUAAAAAAAAAA